AGCGAACGCUGGCGGCAGGCCUAACACAUGCAAGUCGAGCGCCGUAGCAAUACGGAGCGGCAGACGGGAGAGUAACACGUGGGAACGUACCCUUUGGUUCGGAACAACCUAGGGAAACUUGGGCUAAUACCGGAUAAGCCCUCACGGGGAAAGAUUUAUCGCCGAAGGAUCGGCCCGCGUCUGAUUAGCUAGUUGGUGGGGUAAUGGCCCACCAAGGCGACGAUCAGUAGCUGGUCUGAGAGGAUGAUCAGCCUCACUGGGACUGAGACACGGCCCAGACUCCUACGGGAGGCAGCAGUGGGGAAUAUUGGACAAUGGGCGCAAGCCUGAUCCAGCCAUGCCGCGUGGGUGUUGAAGGCCCUAGGGUUGUAAAGCCCUUUCGGCGGGGAAGAUAAUGACGGUACCCGCAGAAGAAGCCCCGGCUAACUUCGUGCCAGCCGCCGCCGUAAUAC
rnacentral:rRNA from 1 species